rnacentral:rRNA from 1 species
UACGAAGGGGGCUAGCGUUGCUCGGAAUCACUGGGCGUAAAGGGUGCGUAGGCGGGUCUUUAAGUCAGGGGUGAAAUCCUGGAGCUCAACUCCAGAACUGCCUUUGAUACUGAAGAUCUUGAGUUCGGGAGAGGUGAGUGGAACUGCGGGUGUAGAGGUGAAAUUCGUAGAUAUUCGCAAGAACACCAGUGGCGAAGGCGGCUCACUGGCCCGGUACUGACGCUGAGGUGCGAAAGCGUGGGGAGCAAACAGG